AAGGAUUUGGGUGAACUACGAUACUUUCUGGGAUUGGAAGUUACAAGAAGUGUCUCAGGAAUACAUCUUUCUCAAAGAAAAUACAUGUUGGAACUACUAGAGGAAGCAGAUAUGCUUGAAAGCAAACCAGUUGCUACCCCAAUGGAUUACAAGACACACCUGUCCUCAACUGGUGAUGAUGAAUUCCACAAUCUGGAAUUAUACAGAAGGAUAGUAGGAAAGCUUAUCUACUUAAACAACACAAGACUAGACAUAAGCUUUCCUACUCAACAGGUCAGCCAAUUCAUGUCCAGACCCUUAAAUGUUCAUUACAAAGCUGUUACAAGAAUUCUAAGAUACUUGAAAGGAGUUCCUGCAACUGGAAUUCUACUGUCUUCCACCUCAAGCCUUCAAUUAUAAGCCUACAGUGAUUCAGACUGGGCAGCAUGUCCAGAUACAAGAAGAUCAGUAACAGGAUAUUGUGUGUUUCUGGGAAAUUCACCAAUCUCCUGGAAAAGCAAGAAACAGACCACCAUUUCCAGAAGUUCAUGUGAAGCAGAAUAUCGUGCACUUGCUCACACAGCCAGUGAACUGUAAUGGUUGCUCUAUCUACUCUCAGAAUUCCAGGCUCAGCACCACCAAGCAGCAACAAUCUUCUGUGACAACCAGUCAGCAAUCCAUGUAGCAGAGAAUGCUGUUUUCAUGAAAGAACCAAGCACAUUGAGCUUGACUGUCAUUUUGUUCGAGAGAAGGUCCAACACAAGCUAGUGAAGCUCAUCCAUGUUCCCACCAGCCUUCAGGUCGCUGAUGUUCUCACAAAGGCACUAUCACCAGCACCUUUCAGCUACCUAAUCUCCAAGCUUGGUCUGCACAACCUGUGCCCCCCCCAGCUUGAGAGGGGGGGGGGGGUUUUAGAUGAUGAAAUGAUUUUCAUUUCCUGCCAAAAUCCCUCCACUUUAACGCUUAAGUGAAACGGUGCGUUCUUCCUCUCUGCACCAACAAGUCAAGUGAAACGGAGCGUUCUAUCAUCAACAAAGAUAAGAGUGAAACGUCACCGUUGUACCUUACAUCAAACAGCUCAUCGUCCUUUCUCUGUUCUUUCUGCAAAUUCUGUUAAGAGCUUCAAGCUCUCUCUCUUUCAGCCAGUAAACCAGCUGUGCAGCUUUUCGCUUAGUCCCUCUCAUUUUUGCAUAUGAACAAUUGAACCAUUAAUGAAAACGUUGAGCCAUUUGCUAAAAUCCUAAAGGAACUAAUAGAAGCAGAAAUCCGAGUUAACCAAAAAUAGCAAAUGUAAACAGUAGUAACCCACCAUUUUCUGAUGUCUACAGCCUCGUCCUUCAUGUUUCUGGAUUUGGGUUUUCUGAAGUUACAAGAAACAAUGGGAUUGGAAUUCAUUCCCUUGUAAGAGAGGAGAUAAGGAGGUGGAAAGUUGGUUGCUGGGAUUCAUAAAUGUGUUUAGGUUGUUGCUACUACACACAAGAAUUAAUAAGGGCA
rnacentral:lncRNA from 1 species